rnacentral:rRNA from 1 species
ACGAACGCUGGCGGCGUGCUUAACACAUGCAAGUCGAACGAGAGGACAAGAGAAGCUUGCUUCUUUUGGAAUCGAGUGGCAAACGGGUGAGUAACACGUAAACAACCUGCCUUCAGGAUGGGGACAACAGACGGAAACGACUGCUAAUACCGAAUACGCUUGGGAGACCGCAUGAUCUACCAAGGAAAGGGUGGCCUCUACCUGUAAGCUAUCGCCUGAAGAGGGGUUUGCGUCUGAUUAGGCAGUUGGUGAGGUAACGGCCCACCAAACCUACGAUCAGUAGCCGGUCUGAGAGGAUGAACGGCCACACUGGAACUGAGACACGGUCCAGACUCCUACGGGAGGCAGCAGUGGGGAAUCUUCCGCAAUGGGCGAAAGCCUGACGGAGCAACGCCGCGUGAGUGAUGACGGCCUUCGGGUUGUAAAGCUCUGUGAUCGGGGACGAACGGUCCGUAAGCUAAUACCUUAUGGAAGUGACGGUACCCGAAUAGCAAGCCACGGCUAACUACGUG